rnacentral:rRNA from 1 species
CCAAUAGCGUAUAUUAAAGUUGUUGCAGUUAAAAUGCUCGUAGUUGAAUUUCGAGACCGGCUUACUGGUCGUGCUUUUGUGCGUACUGGUAUAAUCGGUUUCUCCUUUCUGACGAACUUUAAUGCCAUUAAUUUGGUGUUUUAGGGAAUCAGGACUGUUACUUUGAAAAAAUUAGAGUGUUUAAAGCAGGCUCACGCUUGAAUACAUUAGCAUGGAAUAACGGAAUAGGACGUUUGAUUCUAUUUUGUUGGUUUCUAGGAUCGACGUAAUGAUUAAUAGGGAUAGUUGGGGGCAUUAGUAUUCAAUUGUCAGAGGUGAAAUUCUUGGAUUUAUUGAAGACUAACUACUGCGAAAGCAUUUGCCAAGGAUGUUUUCAUUAAUCAAGAACGAAAGUUAGGGGAUCGAAGAUGAUCAGAUACCGUCGUAGUCUUAACCAUAAACUAUGCCGACUAGGGAUCGGAUGAUGUUAAUUUUUUAAUGACUCAUUCGGCGCCUUACG